ensembl:misc_RNA Metazoa_SRP Metazoan signal recognition particle RNA
GCCGGGUGCGGUGGCUCACGCCUGUAAUCCCAGCACUUUGGGAGGCCGAGGCGGGUGGAUCACCUGAGGUCAGGAGUUCGAGACCAGCCUGGCCAACAUGGUGAAACCCCGUCUCUA